UGCGUAGGCGGAUCAGUAAGUCAGUGGUGAAAUCUCUCGGCUCAACCGGGAAACUGCCAUUGAUACUGUUAGUCUUGAGUUCGGUUGAGGUAGGCGGAAUGUGUAAUGUAGCGGUGAAAUGCUUAGAUAUUACACAGAACACCAAUUGCGUAGGCAGCUUACUAGACCGACACUGACGCUGAGGCACGAAAGCGUGGGUAGCGAACAGGAUUAGAUACCCUGGUAGUCC
rnacentral:rRNA from 1 species